CUAAACUGAGACUUCAAGGACUAUGCCCUUGUGUGGAAGAAUUGAGGAGACCGAAGUUCAUGAGUUUCUCAAUGGGUUCUUACCGGAUUAAUGGCCUGGUGCAUGAAUCACAGUGACUCUCCGCGCAGAACUGAGUGCUGAAGUGAGAGCCGACAGGAGGUUUCAGCUCUCCGGUCUCUGAUGCUGCCUUGAGCCCCAAGCACAGAAAGGCCACUGCUCAUUUCCCUGUCACUACGACCCCUGAAGAAAUCCUGACAGCCCUACUGAUUGAAGCCUUUUUAAAUCAUUUUUUGACUGAGCGGCUCAGCAAAUGAAGCAUUGUGCUCAUGGAGUGCUGGGUACAAGUGAAUAGCAGGCUCACUUCCUGAAGCCACCAGCGUGCUUUGACAGAGAGACGUCCCCACCGAGAAGAGGACUGUAGGGAAAAAAGGAGUGCGUCUACAGAGGAAUGGCAAGUCAGUAGGAGGGACGAUGACUGGGAGUCCAGGAGGGCAGAGAAAGCCUCACAGGAGAGGUGCCUUGAUUGGGAUUCGAGUUAGCAUUCAGCCAGCGUUUUGGGGAAGCACCACCGGCACGUGGGGCCGAAUGGUUGCAUUAUAGGUUAUGUGUAGUGUGUUAUUUACCAUCCCUGGGCCCUGUCUGCCCAAUCCCAGAAGGUCCAUAAUGCAGGCACAUUUCCAAACACUCCCCGAAGGGAUAGGGAAUUAGCUCAGUGGUUCUGCCACCUGUCUCACAAGCGCAAAGACCCAAGUUGGAUUCCUGAUAUCAAAACCAAACCAAAUACUCCCCGAAGGACAGUACUUCCUGGGUGUGAACCCCUGACAGACGGCAGAGGGAAUGGGAGAAGCAAUGUAAAUGGAAGACAGGAGGCACCUAAGGCUCAUUCGCAGACCACUGAUCCAGCAGCAGUGUCACAGAAAACGGCAUUUCCAACAGCUGAGACCGGUUUAUCUCGCAGUGCUACUCACAACACGUUCAAAGGACUCCAAACCACACGUUAAACACUAAUGUCAGGCCAGUUAAAUCAAAGGCUUCUGGUGGGUGGGAUGUGAGCUUUGAACUUGCACCUAAUUUGGAAUACCAGUCUCACCACUUCCUGGCCCUUUCCCUGGGCAAGUUACUCUUGUUCUUCAGCCAGUGCUGACUUCCGAAUAAAGACCACAGUCCUCCAAGCUUUGGUUGGAUGUAUAUAAAGUGCUAGGUUCACUGUGGUACCCAAAGGGUUGUUAUGAGUAUUUGUAUUACCAUUAAGGGUCUUACACUGUAAUGGAAGCAUGAAAAAAAUAGGCAGGAGAACUUUUUGUAGAGCAUCAAAGGCAUCCACAAAUACCUAAGAUGAUCAUGACGAAGCUACAUUGUUUAACACCUUCUUUGUUUUUUAGGAGGUAUUUUUCGGUGCUAGGGAUCGAACUCAGGACCUUGUGCUUGUGAGGCAGGUGGCACCACUGAGCUAAAUCCCUGGACUUCUUCUUUUCUUUUAUUAGUCCAGGUGUGUGGUGCACAAUGAUUACGUCUAUCAUAGAGAGUUUGUAUCCGAACACAACUACCUAAUUCUUUUUUCAUCCCUUUCCCUUUCUCAUCCCUCCCUGCUCCCCCAAAUUCUUGUUCCUCAUUACACUUGCAAAAGAUCUGUUUCCAUUUUUUUCUUCGAUUCCUUUUUUAAUCCCUUUUCCUUUCCCUC